AUUGAACGCUGGCGGCAUGCCUUACACAUGCAAGUCGAACGGCAGCACGGGUGCUUGCACCUGGUGGCGAGUGGCGAACGGGUGAGUAAUACAUCGGAACAUGUCCUGUAGUGGGGGAUAGCCCGGCGAAAGCCGGAUUAAUACCGCAUACGAUCUACGGAGGAAAGCGGGGGACCUUCGGGCCUCGCGCUAUAGGGUUGGCCGAUGGCUGAUUAGCUAGUGGGUGGGGUAAAGGCCUACCAAGGCGACGAUCAGUAGCUGGUCUGAGAGGACGACCAGCCACACUGGGACUGAGACACGGCCCAGACUCCUACGGGAGGCAGCAGUGGGGAAUUUUGGACAAUGGGCGAAAGCCUGAUCCAGCAAUGCCGCGUGUGUGAAGAAGGCCUUCGGGUUGUAAAGCACUUUUGUCCGGAAAGAAAUCCUUGGCCCUAAUACGGUCGGGGGAUGACGGUACCGGAAGAAUAAGCACCGGCUAACUACGUG
rnacentral:rRNA from 1 species